UUCAACUUUGUAUCACCUGAGCUUAACUAACACCUGGCACAGAGAAGAAACAUAUUAAGGAUUUGCUGAGAGAAUAAGAUAGUAUAACUUGGUCUUAUAUCUAAGGUUUGAUUUUCUAGGAACCUAUAGUGAAUUUUAGGCUUGCUUUUCAGUUUUUGUAGCAGGGAUGUAGCACAGGUUUGGGACUCAGCACACCUAGUCUGAAAGCUGAUUUCUGUCACAGCAUGCAUGAGGGACAGUCUCUUCAGUUUAUUUAUACCUUAGUGCUGUGAUUCUCGAGCUUAUAGACACUGUGAGGACAGAAUUUUAGCUCUUUAAACAAAGGGGGGCAAAUAUACAGUGACCUCUAUCUAUGUAGGUAUUUAACUGAAAGGAAUUCCAGGGCCAAGUGUGUCUACUAUUAAAAGAAACGUACUUUUCUUACAAUGUAGUCCCUGAAUGCAAAUCAUGGUUUUAUCUGGUGGGCAACUGAAGAAACAGCAAUCUGAACUGAUAUGGGAGGCAGACCUCACUGUAACAGGAUUAGUGAGAAACAGUGUUUGUGGCUCUUAAUUGCUCAUUUUUUUUUUUUUAAUGGGGGAUGUUAGGGAUUUUCUAAGGGCAGGUUUAUCCAUAUGCAGAGUUGAUGUUAGGAUGUAAUACCACAAAGAUGUAAUUAACUCCUCUGUUUGUGGUCUCCAUGUUAAUUCACUCUCAUAAGAGGGUAUGCAGUGUGGUCACUAUUCUACCACCAUUUUUAAGAAAAAAUUUAAAACUAUUUUUUAUCUUCCAAAUUAAAUAUUUUGCUAUUUGAUAAGUUAACAAUGCAACAGAAAAUCAAUAUAACUUUUAUCUUUACCAGAAGCCAUAAAAGUCUAUCUAGGAAAAUUUCAGAUGUGUGAACAUGGCUUUAGAGAAGGAACUCAACUACAGACUAUAAGAAAUGUAAAACCAAGCCAGGUUCCUGUUGUGGUCCUUUAUUAUGACCUGGUGACCUAAGCUAGAGAAUCACAGCACUAAGGUAUAAGUAAACCAAAUAGCAUGCAUUGGCUUUAGUUCAGAAGGGGAUUUUUGUGCAGAAAAUAAAUUGAAAGUAGGGCCUCUGGCCAGCAUAAACAGAUAAGAAAAAAGUAUGAUUCCCUACGUCUCAAAAAUGACUCCUUCACACAUCCCACCAAUCAAAGAUCCAUUUGGAAUAACAGGUCUUCUAAAAGCUGCCAUAGAAGUUAAGCCUCCUACCACCUAUACUUCUGUGUGAAUUGAUUUAGUCUGGAGGCAUUUUGAUUGCUUUUCUCCUAACACCUAACUUAGAAGGUGAAAUAGAGGUCUUGUUUGGAGGGAAUUGAAGAAGGAAAAGGAAAGGGCAAUUUCAGAUCAAGGGAUAUGUUGGAAUGGUGGAAAAGUAGGAUCAUUAGGACAGCUGGGAACAGUCUUUUAGUUCUUGGAAGCCAGGAAAAAGAUGUAGAGAGAAGGGCAGAAGUGGUCAAGGCUCCAUGAAAAGGAGGAUGUAGCAGUCAAAUUGGAUGUCGACCAUGCAACAAUGACGUCAGGAACCCUGCUUGGUAUACCAUCUGUACCUGUCUGUACAGGGUUUCACUCUUGUUGCCCAGGCUGGAGUACAAUGGCAUGAUCUCGGCUCACUGAAACCUCUGCCUCCUGGGUUCAUUCAAGCGAUUCUCCUGCCUCAGCCUCCUGAGUAGCUGGGAUUACAGGCUCCUCUACAUACCUCCACCUUCUAACUCCAAGAAGUCAAAGUGAAGUCUCACCAUAUUGAUCAGACUGGUCUUGAAGUCCUGGCUUCAAAUGAUCUUCCCUCCUCAGCCUCCCAAACUGCUGGGAUUAUAGAUGUUGCAGACAACAGAUCAUGGAACUUCUUGGCCUCCAUAAUCUCAUGAGCCAAUUUCUGUAAGUCUCUCUGUCUCUCUGGAGAACCUUGGCUAAUAUACACACACACCAUGAUUGAUAGUGGAUGCCCAAUAAAUGCAUUCCAAAAUAUAUGGAUGCCCAAUAAAUAUGUGUAAGUAUGAAUACUCAAUAAAUAAACAAAAAUGAAAGAACGGAU
rnacentral:lncRNA from 10 species